AUGACUAGCCACCAAAUGUUCUCAGAUCAAGUUCUCAGCAUGGUCGUGGAGCAAGCGAUUUACCCUAUCACUACCGAUGUAUUGUAUUCCCUCUUCGCUCCCUUUGGUGUAGAGCAGUUGGUGGUGUAUCCCCAAACAAAAUCAGAGGAUGGAGAGCCUUUUGUAGCGGCAGAUGUCCGAUUCACUUCGGCGCACGCAUUCGCAUACUGGGAUGGCCGCUGCAUCUACUACCGGUGUUGUCGCCUGCAGAUGUGGUGCGCUACACUCGACGUGUUGCCGGCCCCAGCGUCUACUUCGCCCACCGUCGUCAAGGACAACCGUGACACCGCCAUCGACCUCACCAACUCCACCGCGGCCAUCUCUGGUCAUGACGGCAAGUCCGUCGGGGCCAUCGACAUCCCUGCGGCGGCCAGCACCAGCACGCCGCCUCACGGCCACGAUACAUCCCCCAAGUCUUCCCUUGACAGCGAUUGCCGCGUCCCAGUCGCGGGCACGGACGAGUACACAUUGGUGGCGGCAAUUCCAGAAGUCGUCACCGAGCUCGCCAUCUUUCCCGGCGUCCCCUCCACCACCGUCUGCCACGACCUUGCCAUCGACCUCAACGCCACCACUGUUGUCUUCCCCGAGCUCACCGUCAUCCGGAAUGACAAGGAAGUUGAGCAGUUUCCUUCGCACACGGUCAUUGAGGAGGACGCCGCUCCUGGGGUGAUCAUCACCGAUGUUUUCACCCGGCGAUUCUCUCUGGUGACAACAGUCGUGUACAACGACGCCAACAAAAUUGUUGCACCUGCGGCGCCCAUACUACUGACUGCGGAGUACCCGCGCUCCUGCCUUCCCGACACACCUAAGCUCUCGCUGAUGGCAAUGGCGUUUCAACAAGUCUGGUGGCAGUGGAUGAGGCUACGGCCGACGCCGUGGCCAUCGUUUUGGAGGGAUCUUGCUGAUGGGAAUGAGGCUGGUGGCGAUCAGAUGCAUCGCUAUCUGGUACAGCAACUGGAAAGCGUGGAAAUUAUUAUCAAUUUCAGAACUAUGCCCAGUACUGAAGCUUCAGAAACUUGUGAGUGUCAGCAUCUUAUAUCAACCAAGGUUUAUCAUGAAUUGUGGGAUUGCUUUGAGGUUGGUUCUGGUACAAGAUAUCCGAAAUCAGAUGAAGUUUGUGCUUCUGUUAUUAGCAUCUUCGAGUGGGGCUCUUUUCAGAAAUGGGUGUUGGGGCUCUAUUUCAAUAAGAUGGUGAUGCUCAAUGCAAGUGUUUUCUUUUUCCUCUCGUCUCUGCCAUAUGUAUAUGGGAGUUCGACAUGGGCAUGUACCAGAUGGGCAUGUUUUGGGACCCCGGAGGACCGGCGGUGUUCUUGUUACUGGAGUUGA
rnacentral:rRNA from 1 species